rnacentral:SRP_RNA from 1 species
GCCAGGCGUGGUGGCUCAGGCCUGUAAUCCCAGCAUUUUGGGAGGCUGAGGCGGGUGGAUCACCUGAGGUCAGGAGUUCAAGACCAGCCUGGCCAACAUGGUGAAACCCCGCCUCUA